UGGGGUGUGGCUCAGCCGUAGAGCCCUUGCCUAGCAUGUGUGAGGCACUGGGUUCAAUCCUCAGCAUUACAU
rnacentral:tRNA from 1 species